UACGUAGGGUGCGAGCGUUAAUCGGAAUUACUGGGCGUAAAGUGUGCGCAGGCGGCCGCGCAAGUCGAGUGUGAAAGCCCCGAGCUUAACUUGGGAAUUGCGCUCGAAACUACGUGGCUGGAGUGUGGCAGAGGAAGGUGGAAUUCCAGGUGUAGCGGUGAAAUGCGUAGAGAUCUGGAGGAACACCGAUGGCGAAGGCGGCUCUCUGGGACGGUACUGACGCUGAGACGCGAAAGCGUGGGGAGCGAACAGG
rnacentral:rRNA from 1 species